rnacentral:rRNA from 1 species
UGGGGAAUUUUGGACAAUGGGCGCAAGCCCGAUCCAGCCAUGCCGCGUGAGGGAAGAAGGCCUUCGGGUUGUAAACCUCUUUCGGGCGGGACGAAACGGGGCGCACGAAUAGUGCGUCUUACUGACGGUACCGCAAGAAGAAGCACCGGCUAACUACGUGCCAGCAGCCGCGGUAAUACGUAGGGUGCGAGCGUUAAUCGGAAUUACUGGGCGUAAAGCGUGCGCAGGUGGCUGUGCAAGCCAGGCGUGAAAUCCCCGGGCUCAACCUGGGAAUGGCGCUUGGGACUGCACGGCUAGAGUGCGGCAGAGGGAGCUGGAAUUCCUGGUGUAGCAGUGAAAUGCGUAGAGAUCCGGAGGAACACCGGUGGCGAAGGCGGCUUCCUGGACCGAUACUGACGCUGAGGCGCGAAAGCUAGGGGAGCAAACGGGAUUAGAUACCCGUGUAGUCCCUGAGCGGGCUGGCAAGGCGCAU